rnacentral:tRNA from 1 species
CAAGUUAGAGCUUGUUUAAAAAGCAUUUUAUUUACAUUAAAAAGUUGUUGUGGAAAUCAAUAUAAUUUGA